CCUACGGGAGGCAGCAGUGAGGAAUAUUGGUCAAUGGACGAGAGUCUGAACCAGCCAAGUAGCGUGAAGGAUGACUGCCCUAUGGGUUGUAAACUUCUUUUGUAAAGGAAUAAAACGAGGCACGUAUGCCUCUUUGCAUGUACUUUAUGAAUAAGGAUCGGCUAACUCCGUGCCAGCAGCCGCGGUAAUACGGAGGAUCCGAGCGUUAUCCGGAUUUAUUGGGUUUAAGGGGAGCGUAGAUGGGUUGUUAAGUCAGUUGUGAAAGUUUGCGGCUCAACCGUAAAAUUGCAAUUGAUACUGGCAGUCUUGAGUACAGUUGAGGUAGGCGGAAUUCGUGGUGUAGCGGUGAAAUGCUUAGAUAUCACGAAGAACCCCGAUUGCGAAGGCAGCUUACUAAACUGUGACUGACAUUGAUGCUCGAAAGUGUGGGUAUCAAACAGGAUUAGAUACCCUGGUAGUC
rnacentral:rRNA from 1 species